CCUACGGGUGGCAGCAGUGAGGAAUAUUGGUCAAUGGACGAGAGUCUGAACCAGCCAAGUAGCGUGAAGGAUGACUGCCCUAUGGGUUGUAAACUUCUUUUAUAUGGGAAUAAAAUGUUCCACGUGUGGGAUUUUGUAUGUACCAUAUGAAUAAGGAUCGGCUAACUCCGUGCCAGCAGCCGCGGUAAUACGGAGAAUCCGAGCGUUAUCCGGAUUUAUUGGGUUUAAAGGGAGCGUAGGUGGAUUGUUAAGUCAGUUGUGAAAGUUUACGGCUCAACCGUAAAAUUGCAGUUGAAACUGGCAGUCUUGAGUACAGUAGAGGUGGGCGGAAUUCGUGGUGUAGCGGUGAAAUGCUUAGAUAUCACGAAGAACUCCGAUUGCGAAGGCAGUUCACUGGACUGCAACUGACACUGAGGCUCGAAAGUGUGGGUAUCAAACAGGAUUAGAUACCCCAGUAGUC
rnacentral:rRNA from 1 species